rnacentral:rRNA from 2 species
GGACUACACGGGUAUCUAAUCCUGUUUGAUCCCCACGCUUUCGUGCCUCAGAGUCAAUAUUCGUGUAGCGAGCUGCCUUCGCAAUUGGUGUUCUAUGUCAUAUCUAAGCAUUUCACCGCUACAUGACAUAUUCCGCUCACCUCCACGGUAUUCAAGACAGAUAGUAUCAACGGCAGUUCCCAAGUUAAGCUCGGGGAUUUCACCACUGACUUACCUGCCCUCCUACGCACCCUUUAAACCCAGUGAAUCCGGAUAACGCUUGCACCCUCCGUAUUACCGCGGCUGCUGGCAC